AGAGUUUGAUCAUGGCUCAGGAUGAACGCUGGCGGCAUGCCUAAAACAUGCAAGUCGAGCGGUAAGGCCCCUUCGGGGGUACACGAGCGGCGGACGGGUGAGUAACGCGUGGGAAUCUACCCCAAACUGAGGGAUAAGCAUUGGAAACGAUGUCUAAUACCGCAUAUGGUCUUCGGAUUAAAGCUUCGGCGGUUUGGGAAGAGCCCGCGUAAGAUUAGCUAGUUGGUGAGGUAAAAGGCUCACCAAGGCGACGAUCUUUAACUGGUUUGAGAGGAUGAUCAGUCACACUGGAACUGAGACACGGUCCAGACUCCUACGGGAGGCAGCAGUUAGGAAUUUUCCACAAUGGGCGAAAGCCUGAUGGAGCAAUGCCGCGUGCAGGAUGAAGGCCCUAGGGUUGUAAACUGCUUUUAUACGUGAAGAAUAUGACGGUAACGUAUGAAUAAGGAUCGGCUAACUCCGUG
rnacentral:rRNA from 1 species